rnacentral:rRNA from 1 species
GACGAUUGACGGAGCGAAGCGACGUCAAAGCGUUCAUUAAAGUCGAGUUGGCUUAGGGAUACGUUCGUUGGGUAGGGGAGCGUUCUGUAAGCCAGUGAAGGUGUGUCGUGAGGCAUGCUGGAGGUAUCAGAAGUGCGAAUGCUGACAUAAGUAACGAUAAAGCGGGUGAAAAGCCCGCUCGCCGGAAGACCAAGGGUUCCUGUCCAACGUUAAUCGGGGCAGGGUGAGUCGACCCCUAAGGCGAGGCCGAAAGGCGUAGUCGAUGGGAAACAGGUUAAUAUUCCUGUACUUGGUGUUACUGCGAAGGGGGGACGGAGAAGGCUAUGUUGGCCGGGCGACGGUUGUCCCGGUUUAAGCGUGUAGGUGUGUGUUCCAGGUAAAUCCGGUUCACUUUAACACUGAGGCGUGAUGACGAGGCACUACGGUGCUGAAGCAACAAAUGCCCUGCUUCCAGGAAAAGCCUCUAAGCAUCAGGUAACAUCAAAUCGUACCCCAAACCGACACAGGUGGUCAGGUAGAGAAUACCAAGGCGCUUGAGAGAACUCGGGUGAAGGAACUAGGCAAAAUGGUGCCGUAACUUCGGGAGAAGGCACGCUGACACGUAGGUGAAGUGAUUUACUCAUGGAGCUGAAGUCAGUCGAAGAUACCAGCUGGCUGCAACUGUUUAUUAAAAACACAGCACUGUGCAAACACGAAAGUGGACGUAUACGGUGUGACGCCUGCCCGGUGCCGGAAGGUUAAUUGAUGGGGUCAGCGCAAGCGAAGCUCCUGAUCGAAGCCCCGGUAAACGGCGGCCGUAACUAUAACGGUCCUAAGGUAGCGAAAUUCCUUGUCGGGUAAGUUCCGACCUGCACGAAUGGCGUAAUGAUGGCCAGGCUGUCUCCACCCGAGACUCAGUGAAAUUGAACUCGCUGUGAAGAUGCAGUGUACCCGCGGCAAGACGGAAAGACCCCGUGAACCUUUACUAUAGCUUGACACUGAACAUUGAGCCUUGAUGUGUAGGAUAGGUGGGAGGCUUUGAAGCGUGGACGCCAGUCUGCGUGGAGCCGACCUUGAAAUACCACCCUUUAAUGUUUGAUGUUCUAACGUGGACCCGUAAUCCGGGUUGCGGACAGUGUCUGGUGGGUAGUUUGACUGGGGCGGUCUCCUCCUAAAGAGUAACGGAGGAGCACGAAGGUUGGCUAAUCCUGGUCGGACAUCAGGAGGUUAGUGCAAUGGCAUAAGCCAGCUUGACUGCGAGCGUGACGGCGCGAGCAGGUGCGAAAGCAGGUCAUAGUGAUCCGGUGGUUCUGAAUGGAAGGGCCAUCGCUCAACGGAUAAAAGGUACUCCGGGGAUAACAGGCUGAUACCGCCCAAGAGUUCAUAUCGACGGCGGUGUUUGGCACCUCGAUGUCGGCUCAUCACAUCCUGGGGCUGAAGUAGGUCCCAAGGGUAUGGCUGUUCGCCAUUUAAAGUGGUACGCGAGCUGGGUUUAGAACGUCGUGAGACAGUUCGGUCCCUAUCUGCCGUGGGCGCUGGAGAACUGAGGGGGGCUGCUCCUAGUACGAGAGGACCGGAGUGGACGCAUCACUGGUGUUCGGGUUGUCAUGCCAAUGGCACUGCCCGGUAGCUAAAUGCGGAAGAGAUAAGUGCUGAAAGCAUCUAAGCACGAAACUUGCCCCGA